rnacentral:rRNA from 1 species
CGUUGUCCGGAAUCAUUGGGCGUAAAGCGCGCGUAGGCGGCUUGGUAAGUCUGCUCUGAAAGCCCGGGGCUCAACCCCGGGAGGCGGGUGGAUACUGUCAAGCUCGAGUCCGGAAGAGGAGUGUGGAAUUCCUGGUGUAGCGGUGAAAUGCGCAGAUAUCAGGAGGAACACCAAUGGCGAAGGCAGCACUCUGGGACGUGACUGACGCUGAGACGCGAAAGCGUGGGGAGCAAACAGG